rnacentral:sRNA from 1 species
CCAGCUCCGAAAAAAAGAAAAGGAAAAAAAAAAAAAAGAAUGUAUACAAUCCAAGUCCUGCCUCUAUGCUAUUUAAAACUUACGGAAGACAGGGAUAAGUAACUAAGUAGUUGUCUCGGCUGACUCCUAUCUUCACAGAGCAUUUACUGAGAAACUAGCAUGUACAGAGUGCCAGAAACACCAAGAUAAAUGGACAGUCCAAGCCAAGAAACUGUGAUUGAUAAGGCAGAAUAAUCAUUGGUCUACACAGUGUGUGGCCAGAUGGCCCUACAAGCUUGAGACAGACAAAGCAAGCCCUCCUAGGACAGCAGCACUGAAUGGAGAGAGGAGGGACGGAAGAAUAAAGAAGGGUUUGUGGCACACAGCAGAGAGGCUACUGUUUAUCAUCAGAGCAACGGCAAACAUUUGAACAAGCUGGUGCAAUAAGGAGUGAACCUUAUCACCCCCACUUCCUGCUGAAAGAGUACAGCACAGGGAGUGAGGGAUGGAGGAGGGAGGCAGCCGAAUGAAGGGAGAGAGGUGAGCAUGCUCCACAGAGCCCAUCCCCAUCCACUGCAGUGGACUUUGGCAGGGAACCAUGACAGCCUAAGGGCUCUACUUUUGAGCUGACUGCUGGCUUAAACUCGUCCCCAGUGAAGUCUGCCUCUGACUCUACAGCAGCAGUGUGACCUGCAGAUACAGAGGACGGCCACGGAGGCUUCCAUCUGCACAGGAACGGACAGACGGACAGGUAGGGGUAAGUUGCUAGAAAUCUUCUGACAUAAUAUAGCUGUCUGAGACCUUGAGUGACAGAAGCUGUUACCUCCACUCUUCUCUAACACGCUCUCUCUGCCCACUGUGCUACACUCUACACACAAGUCUGGGGACUGUCCUAGCUUACUCACAGGACACAUCAUCAGAACUGUGUCAAAUGAUAUGGGAGAAGAGGAUCUUACUAAUGCCAGAAAUAUGAAAAAUUAAGUAUUAUCACAAGUUCCUAACAGUUUUCAAGGCCUCAAGGUAAGGAAUCAAGGAGUUUAAUAAAUACAAUGAACAUAAUAAUGAAAUCGCCAACUCACAGUAAAAUCUCUGCUGAGUUGAGAUUACUGUACUAACACAUAAGGAGACACUACCAAAUGUAUUCUUACCUAAUACAGACAAAAAUACAAUAAGCAUUGCUUAUGCAGAAUGUAAUGAAGAAAUAAGCAUUUAAAUAACUCAUUUCCUAUUCAGGGCAUUAGAUUUAUAGUCAAAUUUAAAGGAAUUCAGGGACAAAGCUGACAUUUGUACUUUAGAGGUUUCCGUGUUUGUAGAGCAGGUCUCAGUUAUCAUCAGGAUAGCGUCUUUCCUGUCUCCUAAAGUCCUAAGGCCACGUGUGCUCACCAUGCAGAGCUGUGUGUGGCUGUGAGGCCAGUGCUGGACACAGUGAUGGUGGCUCAAGCAGAUGUGCUCCAUCUCAUCUGUGCUAUUAGAAAGCUUCAUGGUUGGCUUGAUGGUGGCUGAUAUUUUCCUGAUGAGACUUGAAAACACUAUGAUUUGUUGAUAUUAAUAACAGUUGUGAGAAAGGCAUGAGUCUCUAUCCAGGAGGCUGAGCACACCACCAUGUUCUCCCCAUGAGAACAUGCACACAUUAUUGAAACCAUAUUCUCAAAAAGGCAGCUACUAGAGAAACAAGGGGUCCUCUGAUGGCAUGGAGCCAUAGAAAAGGCAAAAGCCAGCUGGUCUAGUGUGACAUCUUACUAUAGAUCAAGAGGACUCUUAAAAUAUUAAUAAAUGGUCCUUUUAAAAAUAAAAAGGCCAUUUUCCAAAACUGCCUUGAUUUCAACUGGGAAUGUACCCCACGGUUGACUCUAUUUGGUUCUAUUGUCUGAAAACGCCUUGCAACAAUCCAGACAGCGCAAGGCAGCUCUAAUUCCCAUAAUGGCACCUGUCACCUGUCUCUGUCAAUGAGACAUCUGAAAGCAUCUUUUUAUUAGAAACACAAAUCAAUAUGCCCGAGGGAUUACAAUAACUGCUUGAAGCAAUUUGUAUUAUCAUUUCAUCCUUGAUGUUUCUGCUCUGAGCAACUUAUUAUUAUGAGCGGCAUGAAAAUGGCAACCUGUCACGAUUGAUUUUCCUUAACCUUCUCUAAGAAUUUUCCCUCUUAAAUGUAAUCAAGUAUCAUCUUAUUAAAUACAUCUAAGGCUAGGUUUUAUAAAGCAGUCCAUUACUGAAGUGGUAGUCCUUGUAAUUUAAACUUUCACCAAAUUUCAUUGUAAGUUGCCUAGUAAUAAAAACUUCUUAUUUGUUCAAAGUUUUAAAACUUCCAAAUAGGAGUACAGUCCAUCUCUCUCUCCAGUAAGUCACAGGAUAAGAACUAGAAAAGUCAGAGAGCUAUCCCUGCAUCUGGAUGAUAACACUGCACUUUUAGCAUACAGCUAUGCUUCCUUGCUGUUAGAGAGCAGGAACGAAAUUAACAAGGAAUCCAAAACAGUCAGUCAGAGUGUUGCAUCAGUCAGUCGCUCCACUUACAGACCCCUAACUCACCCAGGACAGUCUAGGGCAGACAUCAGAGCAGAGACUAUCUCUAGACUGCACUAUGCUAGAAUCUGGAAGUCAGGGGUUUGCAUUUCCAUGUCUCACGGGCAUAGCACUGGGGCAGGCAGUACAGUUGCUGGCAUGAAGAAGCAGUAUAGCCAUGCCACAGGAGGAGGAGCAAGGCUGGCAGCCAGACAUGCUUUCUGUAUAUUUCAACUCCAAUAAAAAUCUGUAUCUAGGGCCUAAGUGCAUGAUAGCCACAACCACAGAGAAGAGAAAGGAGCUGGAGAGUACCUGGCACAAGCCUGGGUAUCAGAGAGGCCAGGCCAUUCUCCCUAAUUCUCACAAGUCAUACCAGGUUGAAGGAUUGGCUUUUUAUUUUUAAUCAACUAGAAAAGAACAAACAAAAAACAAGGUAACGAAGCAAAGAAAUAAGGGAAAUAUGCCAAAGACAAGAGAUAUUAGCUAAGGCAGGCAAAACAGCAAGAUUAAAAGUCUAUUUAUGAAGCUAGCUACCUAUAAAAUUGGGUGAAUAUUCAAUGUUCACUUGUCCAUCUGCUUAGCUCUGCAGACGUUUUAAAAGGCACAAAACAGUUGCCUGCUUGUGGUGGAGAUGCCUUUAAUCCCAGCACUCAGGAAGCAGACAAAGGCAGGUGGAUCUAAGUCUGAGGCCAGCCUGGUCUACAGAUUGAGUUCCAGGACAGUCAAGGCUACACAGAGAAAUGCUGCCUCGAGAGAGCCAAUAAGAUAAAAUAGGCACAAACAGGGCCUUAUGGAUUCUCCAGCAUAAGUGGGAAAGUUGACAUUCUGUCAGGAAUCCAGAGAGAAAUGGGGCUGGUGGGAGUUGGUGCCUUCCUAGGUGUGGAAGAGGGGUCUACUGGAACAGCCUCACCAAGACCAGAGCCUGGCAGAAUAACAUGCCUUUGGGAACUGAUGGUGAGAGGGGAGGUCUGAGUAGAAAAGCUCCAAGGAAGGUCAGCAGGGAUAACCUUUGCUGGGUCCUGGUGGGUGUGCAUUAUGUCUCUGCUACAAACCAUGUUUUGUGGCAAUGACUACGAGUUUUGAGCUUCACAGAAUCUGGAGCCACCUGAAAGAUAGGCCUCCGAGAAUGCUUGUGGGGGAUACCUUGACUGACUUAACUGGGAUGGGAAGACCCGAGCACAAGGUCUCGGUAACGAAUGAGUGCUGAGAAGCAGUUCCCUCUGCCUUCUGACUUGGAUAUGACAUAAUCAGCAGCCUCAGGCUGUGACACUAGCACUUCUCUGCCACCUUGACCUGGGAGACAACACCCUUUCUACCUUAGGCUGCCUUUGUUAGGGUAUUUUAUCACAGCAACUGAAACUUAACUAAGAUGGAUUCCAGUGCACUCACAGCAAGUGACAGACAGAAAGCUGAUGGAGAGCCACACCCAGAGCAGAAGAUACAGGGAAAUGAUACUGCAGGUCAAUAAAGUGCAUGAACAGCAUGAACAGAAGUAGAAGCAUAGAGGUGACAGAUGUGGAGCCUGGGUACUGAAUGUUUCAUGAAAGGGAACUGCAUCUCUCUGUUAGUCAACAAGACCCAUAUGCUGUAACAGUCUCCAAGCCAGCGUGGAGGGCAAGACUUAAAGGCCUCCUUGAAUAACAAAAUGGUACUAUCACAAACUCAUGCAAUGCUAGUCCUUGCCUCUGUCAAUAUGUAGCUGGAAAACACAUUUAUUUUGAGAUAAAAAGGCAAGAUGGCUCCUCAAAACAGCCAUAGGUUUGCAGCCUGACACAGCCAUACCUCCACUCUACAAUUGCUUUCCCCAGCUGUACUCACUCCACUUUGUCACCAAGGACAGACAGCCUUACUUCCUUUGGCAGACAUGCCUCUGGAUAAUCAUUUUCAGAUCCCUCCUCUUUAGAGUUUGUCUACUUUCCAGCACGGGAGGCCUCUGGGUCACAUCUGGACAGUUUCCUGGCCCCAGACCAGGAUGGUCCUUCUCUAGGUUGUAGUUCUGCUCUCUGACACCUGUCACAGCUCUAGAUAAACCCAGGACCUAUCUGUUGGUGUGAGUAGAGACUCUUGCAACAUGGAUAAUAAAAGACCUUGGUUUGUCACUAAGUACAUCACUGACAUAUAAUUUCAAGAAGAGCUGUAUCUUUGGAGCUGUUCAACAGUGUCAAAGCUGAAUGGCUAGGCUUUCAUCCCUGGCCCUUUUGGGAACUGUGUUAAUCCCUGACCAAGUUCCCUGUCAACUCUGCUACUGGACCAGGAUUCAUUAUUUAUCAUUAAGUCAAUAGGUUUUCCUGAACCAUUUUUAAUCUUAGGAGCCUAAAGGAGUUCUGCAAGUUUGCACAGUUCUCACAUGUGUACAUCAAAGUGAAGGCAGGAUGUAAACCACCGGGGAAGAGUGGCCAGGUAACACCAUGAGAUUUUUUUCUAAGUACUUAACAAUGUGUUUUAGGGACCCUUGGAUGCCUACACUAAACUUGCUCUUGUGGAAGACAAAUAGAUGUCUUGUGGAAGAUGAUCAAUGCCCUUUAUUCUUUCCUGGAACUGUUACUGUGAUACUGAAUUUUCUCACCAGGAAAAACACAAUCAUAUCAAAAAAAAAAAAUCCUUUGUCUUAUAGUACAAUCUUUCUUUCCUAAAUUCUCUCUUGCUUCCUCCCUCUACACGUUCCUCUCUCUUCCUCUCAUUUUCCUCUUCCUUCAGCUCCUUGCUCCUUUAAUUAAUAUUACUUCUUCCUGGUCUGGGAUCCUGAUCAUAAAAUACGUUAGUCUUCCCUUCCCUUAACCCUGAGCUCAGUUCCUGCAACAUGAUACCCACCCCCAUCCUGAGGUACCCCUUACGCUUCUCUGACACUAAGAACACUAACCUGAAUUUGUGUCUUGAAAACCUAAGGCAACUUCUAAAUUAUGCCAGUAUUUUUCAGACUUCUAAAUCAGUGACCCCUGCAAUCUGUAUCCAUCUCUAUUCCUCCCUCCUGCAGAUCCAAUGACCUCUUCACUCAGCUGUCUUUUGUCCUGGUUACUUUUCCUGUUUCCCCUGUUCAACUUUUGAAACAAACAUUCUUUGGAAUUCCACUUUUUUUUCCUUAUCAGCCAGAAGACUCUAGGAGAAUAUCUUCUGUAAGCACACUGUAAGUGUGCCAAUACUGCUCCAUAGAUAUUUCCAACUCUCACACUGCUGGAUCACAGGGAGGGCUGUACUUUCCUGAUACCCUGAACUUAUAUGAGGUCAUCUAAUUGCUUUGGCCAAUGAUACCGACCCUGUGCACUCAUUAGUAAAAGCCAUUAAAGCCAGCAUGUGAGAUGCUGGCCUAUCCUAGUGGUCAUGGGACUCGGUUACCAAUGUAGAUCAUCAUGGCCUCAUGAUGAGCAAGUCGCAUAGAGUCUGGCACAAAAUAUGUGUGAGAAUGCUGCAGAGGCCACCGUGGUCUGUAUAGUAUAUUAUCAGCUCAUCCUGACUGGUAGCCACUACCCACUCAUUCAGAAUUAUAGAUAUUUCAAGCAAUACCUACUCUGCCAGCAGUGAGCUCCACAGUUAAAUUCCAAUUAAGCACCAUGUCAAUCAAGCUCCCCUGCUUAGGAUCACUGUCAGAAUUAAGAGGUCAAGACAUAUUUGCUAGUGGAAACCCAGCAGAGCUAAGGAAAAUUAAUCCUCUUUCCCUCUGAAAUGCUUAGUUUUGCUUGCACUAGUCACCUCUGAAGUCUAAACACUACACCACGCUAGGAUAUAACUUUCAGAAAAAUGCCAUGCAAACAGCAAACAUCCAUUUCUGUCUCUUCUCUUCUGGAGUUACAGUCAACAUCACAUUCUUUUUCAUUUAAUAGAGCAAAACCAGUAAUUGCCUGCAAAGUCCUAGCUGUCUGGUCCACAGCAGCCUGGCUGAAGUCCUUCCUUGAACUUUACUAAUCUAAAACCAGCAUUGAACACUUGGAGAGACUCCACUGCUUACACAGUAAACACAUAUAAUUCAUUUAUCCUUUGGGUUAAGUCUCAAGUUACAAAAGGGUCUGAAUAUCAAGCCUGUAGGAACGCCUCCCAAGGAGCCCCACUCUAGGCAGGCUCGGCUGCAGACAGAGUGCCCCUGAGCUCUGAGGCGUCAGUUGAAGGGACAUGGGCCAAUGAAGAACCAGAGGAGGAAAAGAGACGGACGUGAGCACACAGAAAUGACAAACUUGAGGAAUGAAUAUAAAAAUUACUUUAAGAUUAGAUUUUAGAUAGCUUUAAAAAUGUAAGAUUAAUGGUUUUCAGAAAAGAUUCUAAGAAUGACCCAUGGUGUAGUAAGUCUAUAGACCUCAGCUGUCAUUUAUAUGAGUAUGGCUAAAAAGGGAGGAGACUAAGUACCAAGUAAGGCCCAGCGUGGGGCCAACUGAUGAGACUUUUAUAUCUAUCUGUGAAGGCUAGUAAUGGCAGAGCCAAAGCUGUACUAUAAGCCUGUAAAACUCCAACAAUAUCCUAUCCUCACUAACACCAAGGAAACGAGGAUAUUUCAAAUAGCACAAGAGAAGAGGUGCUGGAGAGAAGGCUCCCUUCACUGACUAAAAACACUUGAUGUUUGGCAGGGACUGGGGCUUAUUGGCCAGCAUCCACAUGGCAGCUUACAACCCUCUGUAUCCUCUGUUCUAGGGGAGCCAUUGUGCCCACAGAGGCCAGAAGAAGGGGUCAGAUGCCCUGUGACUAGAGUUACAGAUUGUGGGUGCUGGAAAGAAGAGUGCCCACUGUGCACUGCCCCAGCCCCAGCUUCUUAGGAUUACUACAUACGAAUCAGCAAGUUUGUUUCUAAUUUUAAAUUGGAAAUAAGAACUGAGACUGAUAAUAUUUCACGUCACAAAACAGUAUUAGGAACUGUGAUGUAGCUUGAGUGUGGUGAUGCACAUUCCAAAAUUCUGUUGAGGCAGGAAGGUACCUAUGAGUUCCAGGCCAGUCAAAGUACAAAACAACAACAAUAAAAUAAUAGUUAUAAUAAUAAUUACAACAUUAGCAUCUACUGAGCACUUGUUAGGUAUCAAGUUUUUUUUUUUUUAAAGCAACACGUGAAGCAGCUGAUUCUCAACCACAUGUUGGUACCAUCUCUAUUUUACAGAUGUGAACAUGAAGAUGCAGAGUUAAAACAUUUGUUCAAAGUCUAGAACCUGGUCAAUGGCAAAGCCUAGAUUGUUCCCCAGUGACAAAGCAAAUGUGAGGAUCCUCAACUAUGAUGAUAAACGCAUCUGAAGCACAGUGAGCCAACAUGAAACGUGAACAGAGACUAAAGCUGUGAAGUUGUGAGACAAUGAAAAACAGCAGGAUGCUCCCUUUCUGGGAAAGUUAAAGCAGGACCUGGCAUGGACACACCAGCCUGCCUGUCACAACAUGGUAGGUUUGGAAGUGAUGACAAAGGACAGGAACGUGGCCAGCCAUGCUCCAGUAUAACUAAACCUUUACUAAGAAUCUAAUGGUUCCAAGUUGUUACAUCGAGUAUUCAGUUCUUCUGCGCCCAACAGGCAUGAGCAAGUGGGGCAGUGGGGGGAAGCUUCAAGGUUUACUUUACCAAGUUUUUGUAGUAACAAAUACAUGGAUCAAAAUACAGAAGUAAAGAAAUGUGUAAAUGAAUGUAUAUGCAUAUGAAUAAGUAUUUACCCUUCUAGGUGAAGGAGCUAGAAAUGCCUGGCAGCACCCCACAGUUGUCACAAUUUUCCUAGGCCAAGGCUGAGUUAGCCACACUGCGCUAUUCCUUCUGGAGCAGGGGCUUAUCAGCUCUAGCUGACCUGCCAUAGGCAUGGGAGCUUGCACAGACCAGCCCACCAGCACAGGUAGGUGCUGCACGAGAGAGCGAAGACUGUGACACACUCUGCAGCUCCUGCUUCCUCCGUUAGAGCCUCUGUGUGAAUGGACUCUAGACUGAAUUGUCGUCUCUAAACCAAGGGCCAUCACCCUUAACUUCUACAAAUAAUGAAAAUCUUAUAUUAACCAACUAUUUA